GCGCGUUUGAUUUAGGGAUUCGCGCCCGAGUCCGGUAGCAUUCUGGGAAUUGUAGUUUCCGUGCUGCGCAAAGCAAUGGAACGCGCUGAAUUUGAGUUACUACGGGAGAGACAAGUGGAAAAGAUCCAAGAGAACCUCCUGGAAGCAGCAGAAUUAUUGUCUAAAUUGAACAUGAACCUGGACGUCUGGGGGAAGCUGUCAGGGGAAAGUGAAAAGCUGUUGCAGGUUUGGACACAUUUCCAGAAUCAGCUGCUUGUCCUGUCUCAAGCUUUUAUGAAUCCCAAGUAAUCAUGAACAGCCGUCGCCCUACGUUUUAAAUUGCAUCAAAUAAAUAACGAUUGUUUUCACGUGUUUGUGUACGUUUUAAAGCAAUAGUGAUCUACAUGCCUUUAUGUAAUUACUAACAAACGGACUAUUUUUUACGUUCAGGGAUUUAAACACAUUUGAUGGAUGUUGUUGAUAGAUGUUUUAAAUUAGCCAACUCAAUGUAUUUCUAGUCUUUUUAACUAUUUCUACAAAUAAUGUAACCUUUAUAUCUCCAAAUGGUAUGUUACUGUGUGUAUAGAACGAUUUCCUAUUGUCAUGUUUCAGUGAGGUUCUGUGAUCAAAUGCAUUAAUAAGUUCCUAUCAACAUCAGUGACAUGCAGGCUUGAGGGUAAAUGAACAUCCUACUAUCGUAUUUAUAUAGUGGGGUAAUACAGUCUCUGUAUACUUGUCUUUACCGUUUUGUACAUUACAGCAGGGUAUUUGUAACAUUUUCUAUAUGUAUAACACCUCACACAUUAUUCUAAAAGCUUUGUGAAAUAGAAGUUUGAAUAUA